GGCGAACGGGUGAGUAACGCGUAGGAAUCUACCUAGUAGAAGGGGAUAGCCCGAGGAAACUCGGAUUAAUACCGUAUACGUCCUUAGGGAGAAAGAGGGCUUAGCUUUGAUGCUCUCGCUAUUAGAUGAGCCUGCGUAAGAUUAGCUUGUUGGUGAGGUAAAGGCUCACCGAGGCGACGAUCUUUAGCUGGUCUGAGAGGACGAUCAGCCACAUUGGGACUGAGACACGGCCCAGACUCCUACGGGAGGCAGCAGUGGGGAAUAUUGGACAAUGGGCGCAAGCCUGAUCCAGCCAUACCGCGUGUGUGAAGAAGGCCUUCGGGUUGUAAAGCACUUUAAGUAAGGAAGAAAAGAGUAUUGUUAAUACCAUUACUCCGUGACAUUACUUACAGAAUAAGGACCGGCUAAUUCCGUGCCAGCAGCCGCGGUAAUACGGAAGGUCCAAGCGUUAAUCGGAAUUACUGGGCGUAAAGCGCGCGUAGGUGGUUUAUUAAGUUGGGUGUGAAAGCCCCGGGCUCAACCUGGGAACUGCAUCCAAAACUGAUUCACUAGAGUACGAAAGAGGAAAGUAGAAUUCACAGUGUAGCGGUGGAAUGCGUAGAUAUUGUGAAGAAUACCGAUGGCGAAGGCAGCUUUCUGGUUCUGUACUGACACUGAGGUGCGAAAGCGUGGGUAGCGAACAGGAUUAGAUACCCUGGUAGUCCCCGCCGUAAACGAUGACAACUAGCUGUUGGGAAGCUAUGCUUUU
rnacentral:rRNA from 1 species